UGAACGCUAGCGACAGGCCUAACACAUGCAAGUCGAGGGGCGAGCACAAGGAGCAAUCUGAGGUGGCGACCGGCGCACGGUGAGUAACACGUAUGCAACCUGCCUGUAAGACGGGGAAUAACCCGUUGAAAGACGGACUAAUACCGCAUAAUACUAAAUUACUGCAUGGUAAUUUAUUUAAACAUUUAUGGCUUACAGAUGGGCAUGCGCAUGAUUAGCUAGUUGGAGAGGUAACGGCUCCCCAAGGCAACGAUCAUUAGGGGUUCUGAGAGGAAGGUCCCCCACACUGGUACUGAGACACGGACCAGACUCCUACGGGAGGCAGUAGUGAGGAAUAUUGGUCAAUGGACGAGAGUCUGAACCAGCCAAGUCGCGUGCAGGAAGAAUGUCCUUAAUGGAUUGUAAACUGCUUUUGCAGGGGAAUAAAGUGCAUCACGUGUGAUGUUUUGUAUGUACUCUGCGAAUAAGGAUCGGCUAACUCCGUGCCAGCCGCUGC
rnacentral:rRNA from 1 species